rnacentral:antisense_RNA from 1 species
UGUGGGAGCGGGCUUGCCCGCGAUUGCAAUGUGACAUUCAGCAUCUUUGUUGAAGGGUAGACCGUCAUCGCGGGCAAGCCCGCUCCCACA